GUUUUCUUUCCGCUUCAGUUGGUUUUCUUCAAUUUUAGAUUUUCGAUCUUAAAUCCCCAGGCUAUUACUAAACCAGUUACAGAUGAAUGUGCUUUCAUUGAAGAAAAUGCGGGAUUCAUUUUCGGCAAUCUUACUUCCCUGAAUUUGUUGACGUGGAUGAGAAUCAAAUAGAGCAAUGGAACCAUAUAACCCCUCCCCUCAAGAUUUUGGAGUCACCUCGAAUGGACGGAGAAGCACAAGAACUUUGUCUAUGAGAAUCGUCAUUCAUCCCCAGAAAUGCCUAAUUAGUUGCAGUUGGAAGAAGAACAAAUUAACCAUACAUCCAUCAUAGCUAGCUGACUACCUCCCAUCCUCCCAAACCAUACCUUUGUCUAUGGUGGCAGACUAGCAGUUGAGGUUAGCAGACUUGCAAGCAUUAAGGUUGAGAGACAGACUGGAGGAAUUAUCUCAUCAAAUUAAAAGGAUCUGAUACUCGGUAUAUAUCGAUAUGUAUAAUAUGGUUUAACUCGGUACAUGUGGAUAUGUACUGGGUUUUAACUCACUACAUGUCGAUAUUUACUAAACUUGGCUAAAUUAUAUAGUUUUUGGCAGAAAUUUCUUUUGGCUCUAGGUUACUACAUGAAGAUAUGUACUUCCAUUAUUUAAGGCUUCAUACUUUUUUCUUAGUCUCUUAUAUUAAGUUCAUACGACUAGUAUGUUGUACUAUAAAAAGUAUUGAAACACAUUCA